rnacentral:misc_RNA from 1 species
GCUGAGUUUCCCAAAAAAAGUGAGGUAACUAAUCCUUGUGUGCUUUCCUAGAGAAUUUGGGAAAAAAGGAAAAAUAUAUUUGUUAUUGACAUGCCAUUGUUAAUGUACUGAACUAUCUGUCCUCUUGUGGGCCAAUAUUAUAAUUAGUAGUGACAACUAAGGCCUAAUUAAGUUUCGAACUAUUAAGUUCCAAACUAUCUUAUCUUUG